rnacentral:tRNA from 1 species
GCCGGGAUAGUUCAGUCGUACGA